GCGCAUUAGCUGCAGAGAUCAAUCAAAUUCAGGAAGUUAUAAAUGGUCAUAAACUUUGUUGGCUGCAAAAUAUAUCUUAAGGUCAGUUUGGUGAAGUCAGUUCUUGUAAAUUCUUGGUUGAUAUCCUUUAAUAAACCAUCUCCUUGGUAUCUUUGACUAUGAUGGUUUUAAUGCUUAGUGGGAUGAAGUAGGAUGGAGCAGAAAAAUGGCUUCUUAGUAUCUUUGCACAGUUGGACUGAUAACACUGGACAAACAUUGUUUGUACAUUUGCUCCGUUUUUUAGGGUUAACUGAUAUUCCAGUUCUCUCCAUGCAUUUGUUAAGUUGACAAAUUAGAAUUAAGCUCAUUACACUCUAAAGUCAUUCAUCACUCGGAAGUAUGGGCAAGCUGAGGGGAAUUGCACAUUGAGGUUUUCCUCAGUUGUUUGGUGGUCUAUUCAUUUCUUGCUGAGUAGGUGAACUUAUCUUGCUAUUUUUCCUAGUUUGGGAGUGCAUAGGGAUGCCUGUAGUCAACAGCCUAUCAUUGCUCGUACGAUUUACUUCAGUUAUAUGUAGAAGAGCUUUUCAGCAUUGUAAAUGGUUCUGGGGAGAGAGAGAGAGAGAGAGAGCAUUCUGAAUUCCUAUCUAACCUUACUCUUGAUAUGACCUCUUCCUUUCUAAUAUUUAUGUGCUGAAGAAAUUGGAGAAUUGGAAACAGGGUAUGGUAUAUUAAUAGAUGGUUUUGUUAGUAAGAAAAGUUUAUUAUACCUUGCAUAGGCGGCUGCUGCCUUGGAUAUGCAACUAUUAUUAUACAGGUGGUUGAUCUUUCUGGAGGAAAGGAUGGAAUAUUGAUUCAUAAAAACACCUCGUUUGGUAGAUGGUCAGAUAGAGGAGGAAAGGAAAAUGAAGGAAUAGGGAAGUCAAAAAAUAUUUACUGUAGGUCACAAGCAGCUGUAAGGUUCAACUCCCUUUGAAAUGUGCAAGUACGAGGAUAAUGAAAGCGAGUGCAUGUUGAAGGUUUCAAAGCUCCAGAUCCUUGGAACAGUUGAAUGUUUCAUUUUUAGGGAAGUGUGAAAAUGAACCUCUUUUCUUUUGAGGCCAUUCAACGGGAAGCCAUGUGAUGCAAAUCUAAACUUUGGACAAACCAUCAUAUAUCUACUUACUUUUAGCAUACAUAAUACUAGCUUUUAGGUUGAACAGAAAUGUCCUAGUUCUUUUCUACCUAGUCAAAGGUAAACUAUAAACAGUAGAAUUGUCACGUGACUUGUCCAUGACCAUUAGAAAUGUCUAAAAAUGAGAUCUGUUAUCAAUUAUAUAUUGUAAAAAAAUUCAAUGUAAUUUUAUUUUAGUGUAUACAUUUUAAAUUAGUCGCAAAUAAUUACUUAUUUUUUUGACUUAAAACUUAAUUUAUCAAAAAAUAAAUACUUGUCAAACACUUUAGUAGUAAAAAAAAAACUGACGUGAAAAGAAAGGAGGAAGAUAACAAACCUUAGAGUUGACUGUCAGAUUUUCAACGGAGGAGGCAGAACAGGCUCACCGAUCGUAGUUGUUGCCACUUUUUCUGGAGGGAAUGGUGAUAUGGUUUGAAUUUGAAUAGGAAAUAAUUAAUUUCAUGUCAUAUAUUACAUCUUAUUUUUGGGUGUGAAAAAUAUACAGUAAAAUGUCAUGUAAGAAAAAAAAAUGUUCAAACAAAGUCAAUUUUGUCAAAAAAUUGUGGAAAACCCGACUUUAAAAUUUUAUGGGAAAAAAAUAUUCUUAGUUAAAAAAAAAUCGGUGAUUUUUAACCUUAUUUACCCGUGUCCUAAUGACUAAUGAUUACUGAAUUUAGUGAUGGGAUGGGAAUUCAAAAUCUACAUAAAUAAAGCAAUCAGCGAUACAAGCCUCCUGAAUUCAAAAUCUACAGAAAUAACAGCAUUGGCUAUUGAGCGAUACAAGCCUCCUUUCCGGAUGAACUUUGAAAAUUAAACUAAAAAAUCACCCGUUCCAUGAGAAAAGGUAGGUAGCUCGGAUCAGGCAGGAAAAAACCUCAACAGGUCUAUCUAAAUGAUACUAUAUAGUAAUUCAUUUGUAAAGGGAAAAACAAAGCAACGUGAUCAGUUUUACCUUCCCUCAUCGAUCAACAUCCCUAGGUAUAUCCUUUUUGAUAGCACCCCGGCCGGCCCUACUAAAACAAUCUUAAUUCGGCAUCAUACCCGAACCUCCUCACUAUUGCCACCUGCAUCAUAAUCGAUCGAUAUAUGGCUCAUCUUGUAUUUGUUAUCAUGCAUGUUUCCUCCUCGAUCUCAUCAUAUAUCACAGCUGGAACGCGACCCAAACAUUUAUUGACUGAAGAUCAGACGUGUAUACUCAUUAACCGUGUGCUUACAACUUUCUCGGUGGCCCUGGCUUCUACAAGAUUUCAUCAAACUUGUACAAUCAAAGAGUGUUGGGGCAAAGAAAAAUACCUCAUUUUUGGCCUUACAGCAUUAUGUAGCUAGCUCCUCCUUCAAGA
rnacentral:lncRNA from 1 species